rnacentral:lncRNA from 1 species
UUAUGAACUCUCUUUUCUAAGGAAUUGGAUUUGAACUAUGUUCAACUUAAGCCACUAAGGCAUACUGCUUCCCCUACAGUAAAAUCUUUUCUUUUGGCUGGGUGUGAUGGCUCACAUCUGUAAUCCCAGCACUUUAGGAGGCUGAGGCAGGCAGAUCAUUUGAGGUCAGGAGUUUGAGACCAGCCUGGGCAACAUGGUGAAACCCCGUCUUUCCUAAAAAUACAAAAAUUAGCCAGGCGUGGUGGCACGCACCUGUAGUCCCAGCUACUCAGGAGGCUGAGGCAGGAGAACCACUUGAACCCGGGAGGCGGAGGUUGCAGCAAACCGAGAUUGCACCAUUACACUCCAGCCUGGGUGACAAAGCAAGACUCCGUCUCAAAAAAAAAAAAAAAAUUUAAAUUAAUUAAUUAUUAUUAUUUUUUGUUUUGUAGAGGUGGGGUCUCCCUGUGUUACCCAGGUUGGUCUCAAACUCCUGGGCACAAGAGAUUCUCCUGCCUUAGCCUCCCAAAGUGCUAGGAUUACAGGUGUGAGCCACUGCACCUGGCCACCCUACAGUAAAAUCUUGACUCAGACAUUUAGCCCAACCCUUUCAUUUUACUGAUGAGGAAACUGAGGUACAUAUUCAAGUAAUGCAAUUAUUUAACAAAGGUCAGUGACAAGAUUCUGCAAAAAUCCUAUAAAAGCUUAAUAUUCAUCAAAUAUAACCCAAAUGAGUGUUUUCCAGAAAAAUCUUCAUAUGACUGAGAAGGAGGCAAACAGGCCCCUUUCUGCCUCUAUGGUAUGAAAAAAAUCUAUGAUUUUCAAAAAUUGUUACAUAUAAUCUAUAGCAUAUCA